rnacentral:rRNA from 1 species
ACCUGACUGCUAUCGGAUUGAUACUAAGCCAUGCGAGUCUUUGCAGUAAUGCAAGGCAUACGGCUCAGUAACACGUAGUCAACUUAACCUAUGGACGAGGAUAACCUCGGGAAACUGAGAAUAAUACUCGAUAGAUCAUUAUGCCUGGAAUGGUUUAUGGUUAAAAUGAUUCAUCGCCAUAGGAUGGGACUGCGGCCUAUCAGCCUGUUGGUGAGGUAAUGGCCCACCAAGGCUAUUACAGGUACGGGCUCUGAGAGGAGUAGCCCGGAGAUGGGUACUGAGACACGGACCCAGGCCCUAUGGGGCGCAGCAGGCGAGAAAACUUUGCAAUGUGCGAAAGCACGACAAGGUUAAUCCGAGUGAUUUCUGCUAAAGAGAUCUUUUGCAAGUUCUAAAACCACUAGUGAAUAAGGGGUGGGCAAGUUCUGGUGUCAGCCGCCGCGGUAAAACCAGCACCUCAAGUGGUCAGGAUGAUUAUUGGGCCUAAAGCAUCCGUAGCCGGCUCUGUAAGUUUUCGGUUAAAUCUGUACGCUCAACGUACAGGCUGCCGGGAAUACUGCAGAACUAGGGAGUGGGAGAGGUAGACGGUACUCGGUAGGAAGUGGUAAAAUGCUUUGAUCUAUCGAUGACCACCUGUGGCGAAAGCGGUCUACCAGAACACGUCCGACGGUGAGGGAUGAAAGCUGGGGGAGCAAACCGGAUUAGAUACCCGGGUAGUCCCAGCUGUAAACUAUGCAAACUCAGUGAUGCAUUGGCUUGUGGCCAAUGCAGUGCUGCAGAGAAGCCGUUAAGUCUGCCGCCUGGGAAGUACGUACGCAAGUAUGAAACUUAAAGGAAUUGGCGGGGGAGCACCACAGGGGGUGAAGCCUGCGUCAUUGAUCACGCGAGGCGA